GGAAUAUCAGGUGUUAGCUGAGGUGAAGAAGAGGGAAUUGGAGAGGAGAACUGGCUUGAGAUUUAGGUCCUUGUGUUAUGUUUCUUACUGUUUUUACUGCUGUGAACUAAGACGUGAUCUUUGGAAUAAUGGAUGGUGUGGUUGAGACCGUGAAAUGGUUUUCUGCUCAUCAGACCACUCAGAUCCCUACAAACAGCUUCAGCAGCCUGGGAUGUCUCUUUCAGACCAACCUACUGCUUCACUGAUUGCCUCAGAUGACACAAAAGACUCAGAGGAGAAGUAUUAGGAGGCAUGUGUCUGGGCCUGAUGUAUUCCUACUGCUAUGGACAGGCUUAGAGAGAUUGUGGCAGCAGCAGCAGCCAGCAAGCAGCGAGCACCUUCAGCUCUGGAGUGCAGAACGUGGGGAUGCCACCAGGAACUGAAACAGAAGAGUACUGGAAGAAACAUUUCAUUAUUAAUCAGGCAUAAUAUGCCGGUGGGGGAGAUUAUUAUUCCAGGUGUCUGGGAUGCUGAACAUGUAAAUACAAUACUACAUUGCUGCAGUUAA
rnacentral:lncRNA from 1 species